UGCACAGCAAAGUGACGGUCUAUGUCUCUCUAUUCGUAGUAUGGUCUUUCAAUGAAUAUGCAUGCUUUGAAAAUUUAGCGUUGGGAAAGUUGGCAAACCAAUCUUCGUUCUAUUCCAAUUCGUGGGAUGCUGCAAGAGCUGUUGAUGGAGACACAAGGCAGGAAUUAUUUUCAUCGUCCUCAUGUGCUAAAACUGGUGUAGGUCAGAAAACUGCUUCAUGGUAUGUAGAUCUCGGAAAGAUCAUGAGUAUACAUCAUGUGGAUAUUUACUACAGGAAGGAAAGCGACAGCGCGUAUGAAUCUACGUACAGGAAAUUCUUUGCUGGAUUUUCGCUAUAUAUUUCUAACGGUACCAACCUAAACAAUGAAUCCCUUUGCUAUCAUCGACUUCAAAACGGAACAAACUCUCCUCCCUCGGUUAUGUCUAUUCAGUGCGAGAUGAUAGGUAGAUUCGUCACCAUUUACAACGAAAGACUUCCCGAACAAACCUAUCCUGAUUAUUACUCCAGUACUGCAGAACUAGAACUUUGUGAGGUGGAGGU